UACAUGCAGUGGUAAGCGUUAUUCAUCAUUAUUGCGCGUGAAGGGUGUGUAGAUUUAGUAUUAUUAUAUAAAUAUCAUAUAGGUUUUAUAUAAGUGAUACAUUAAAUUAAUUUAUAGAUGUUAAUAAUCUUUAUAAAUAAGUGGUUAAAUACGGUUAAUUAGUAUAUAUUACUGGACGAAAGUAGUUAACAAUAUAAAAUAUAAUUUAUACACGAAAGUAUAAAGAGCGAAGAGGAUUUGGCACCCUAGUAGUUUAUACUGUAAAAAAUGAGUAUUAAAAAUUAACAUUAAAUACUCCGCGUGGGUAGUACUAUCGCAAGGUAGAAACUUAACAGAAUUGGCGGGAAUUUGUUCUAACGGUGGAACAUGUGGUUUAAUGCGAUAAUCCACGCAAAAUCUUACCAACGAUUAUAUGCUCUAAAUUAAAAAAUAGAGAUAAUUAUUAUUUUAAAUUAGGGAUUAGGUAUUGCAUGGCUGUCGUCAGUUCGUGUUUUAAAAUGUAGCAUUAAGUUUUUUAACGAACGCAACCCUUAUAAAUUUAUUUUCUGUUAGAAAUCUAAAUUAUAAAGGCUGAAGUCAAGUCCUUACGAUCUUCAUACGUUGGGCCACACACGUGUUACAAGGGUAGAAACAAAGCGUUUAAAUACGUAAGUUGUUAAAAAUCGUAAAAAACUACCAUAGUUCGGAUUAUUUUUUGAAAGUCAAAAGUAUGAAGACGAAAUCGUUAGUAAUCGUAAAUUAGUAUGUUACGAUGAAUUAAAAGUCAAAUUUUGCACACACUGCCCAUCACGCUCGAAAAACUAAAUUGUUUAGAAAUAAAUUACAAAGUUUACAAUAAGUAGUUCUUUAUAUAAUUUAAUAUUUUCAGUAUAGUAAUUUGAGUGAAGUUG
rnacentral:rRNA from 1 species